UUCGUCAACGCAAAGGGCUCUCCAUAUCUCAUCUUCGCAACCACCACGUCGCCUCCAUGAGUCUCGGGGGAGAACCCUAGCCGCCACUCCUUCCCUCCCCUAUACCUCCUCCCCGUCUCGCCGCCGCCGCCGGAGUGCGCCCCGGGGCGAAGCUAGGGCCAGCGCCUCCAUGCGUCUCGGGGGAGAACCCUAGCCACCACCCCUUCCCUUCCCUAACUCCUCCCUGUCUCGCCGCCCCCGCCGGAGGGCGUGCCGGGGCGAAGCUACGGCCAUCCCCAAGGAGGGCGACGACGGGGCACCUGGUUUGUGUCGGCUUGGCACGGGCGCGCGGCAAACGCUUGGUGCAGCAGCGUUGAGGCACGAACUACGUUGCCGCAGGAGGGUCGCCGACACGAGUUGCUGGCUUGCUGCCUGGCUUAACGGUGACGCGGGCAGGGCACCAUGGUGCUAUCUGACCCCCUGCCUUGCUUCCGCCGGAUGCGGGCUCUCUCCACUCCUCAUGCAUCCGCCGUGUUGGUCCAAGCAGAGGACGAAGUCCAGCCCUUGCCAACAAGCUCAUAAUGAUUUCAGAAGUACGGUCUAAUGGAAGGGUGGAGGAAGAUUUUUGAAAUGGCAAAGUCGUCAGCAAGGACAUGAGACAAGAGGUCUGACCGAACUACGUCAGUCAACUACGUCAGGUGCACCUUGACCUUCUGCCUGAGCAGAUGAACUAGCCACUGCCCUGGAUGUUGUGUCGUCCUCCAGUCCCGCUCUGCUGCUUCUGACCAAACACCUCAAACCAAGACUGAUUGCUCUAUUAUUGUGAUCGGUCAAUACAAUAUUGGUUCAAGCUGACUGAGUAGUAUUUGUGAUCCAAAUGACUGGUUUCAGGUAUCAACUUGACAUAUGUAUGUAGCCCUCUCCAUUUCCUCAUUCUCUGAUUCUUUGGGUCAUUUUAGAACUUCUGAUGGGUUAAGUUAUCUGCAGUAUAGUGUCGAUACUGCUCUAGGACACCUCCCACAUUAGUUCUCCAUUGCAAUUGUUCACCCAACGGACAAGACAGACGUCUCUAUGCUCGCCCACCAUUAUUUGACCGGAUACAGUCACCCAUAAGAUCAGUAUGCCCCAACUUAUAUUUUUCUAACUUCAUUAUUUUGGAUUAUCGGUUGUCCUUACUGCUAUCAAUCCAUGGCAAGAAGUAAUGCAACUAAACUACUUCUCUGAGUUUGGUGGGCAGUAAUGUAAGAGGAUUAUCGCCGCAUAGUCAAUUAGCUAAUGAAUAUUGUGUUUAUGGUCAGAUAACUCUCUCGCUGGUAAUUUGAAUAAUAAAUGUAGAAUUACCUACCGAUCUUGUUUUAGUUGGACUGAUAAUUUGGUACUGCAGGAUACAUUGAAAAGCAUU